UACGGAGGCCUCAAGCGUUGUUCGGAAUCACUGGGCGUAAAGGGUGCGUAGGCGGCGCGGAAAGUCAGGGGUGAAAUCCCGGAGCUCAACUCCGGAACUGCCUUUGAUACUCCCGCGCUUGAGAACUGGAGGGGACAUCGGAAUUCACGGUGGAGCAGUGAAAUGCGUGGAUAUCGUGAGGAACACUAGUGGCGAAGGCGGAUGUCUGGACAGUAUCUGACGCUGAGGCACGAAGGCCAGGGGAGCGAACGGG
rnacentral:misc_RNA from 1 species